rnacentral:rRNA from 1 species
GUUAGGAAUAUUGGACAAUGGGCGCAAGCCUGAUCCAGUCAUGCCGCGUGAGUGAUGAAGGCCUUCGGGUUGUAAAGCUCUUUAGCCGAUGAUUAUAAUGACUGUAGUCGGAAAAUAAGCCCCGGCUAACUUCGUGCCAGCAGCCGCGGUAAUACGAAGGGGGCGAGCGUUAUUCGGAAUCACUGGGCGUAAAGCGUGCGUAGGCGGCUUUGCAAGUUGGGAGUGAAAGCCCAGGGCUCAACCCUGGAAUUGCUCUCAAAACUGCAAGGCUCGAAUUCGGGAGAGGAUAGCGGAAUUGUCAGUGUAGCAGUGAAAUGCGUAGAUAUUGACAGGAACACCAGUGGCGUAAGCGGCUAUCUGGACCGAUAUUGACGCUGAGGCACGAAAGCGUGGGGAUCAAACAGGAUUAGAUACCCCGGUAGUCC